AAUUGUUAUGUAGCCUUUGUUCUUCAUCACGUCACUGUGUAACGUCUCUUGGUGAUCGUGUAAGCAGACUUUAGAGGUUUGCUGAAGAAGAGGAGGGAAGACUGUGUGGUUUAGACACAGGGAUAUCCUAGAGCCCUGCAGCUCUGGCUCAUCAGGAUGACAGUGAAUGGACCAUAUGUCAUCUUGGAGGUGUACAGGUUGUUUGCUUCUCUGUUCCUGCUAUACAAGGUUCUGUCCAGUCUCUCACGAGAGAGGCAGUGUGUGUCAAGCCCCGGGGACAUGAUUGUUUUGUAAAGAUGAAACUCGCUGCCUCUGCUCCUGAGACCAGAGUCAGAUUGUGAAUUCCAAAGGACCUGAUGAAGUCUAAAGUGGGCAAAACAGAUAAAAUACCAGCACUGGUUACUUCAGUAAGCUGUGCGAACAGCAAACAGAGCUUCAGAGGCAGAAAGGUCUCCUAAGUGAUUAAGGACUGAGUAAUCCAGUGAAGUCUCAUGAGUUCUGUCAGCAUAAGUGGCACGUAAUAGCAUUGUUGAAACUGGGAGCUCUUUCUUUGAGUGCCACAUAAUAAAGCCACUGCUGGACAACUGGACUGAGGUAAAAGGAUUAUCAGAUAUAUAUGUUUUUGAAGUCUUUGUUUCACAGGAGAGCCAUCAUCCAAGGUAAACUCUUACAUGAUUCUCUUAAUCCUUCCCUAUGAAAUCUGGUGGCUAAGAUCCUCCUUGUAAAUCAACAAGCUGAGUGCACGGCCCUUCCGAAAUUCCAACUAAGGCUUCUUUGACCAUGCUAUCAAGGGAAACGUUUGUUCUUUUAUGUGCUCCAGGGUGCUUCUGACCCUUGAGCACAUGUACUGCAUUUCACCUACAUAGACUUUAUCCCUUGGGCAGCAACUGCUUCAUGUUAAGAUACUCCUGUGGGUGCAAGGCAUACUCUGGUAUCAGCCCAUUCCUCGAGUUGAUGCCAGUGCCAGAUACUCUAUAGGGUAAUCUGUUGGCGUGCUCUCACGUUUCACAAGGCUUAGUGUCCUUCACUAGAAUAAGCAGCUCCAAGUACAAGAGGAAAUUAUUCAAAAGCAGAAAAACCACUGUGAGAGAAAAGCAGAACAGAGUCAUUUAAAAUAGAAGUGAGAUACCAAGUCUUAAAGAAGCAGCUGGAAAUUGUUUUUUUACCUUUUGCCUCUGGGGUGAAUGUAAUCAACGUUCAGUAGAGAAUAAAAGGGUUUAGCAUGUGC